GUAGUUUAGUUUAGUUUAAAUAAAACAUUCUGUUGUUACCAGAAAAAUCAACGCUAAAAUAUGUCUAAUUUAG
rnacentral:tRNA from 1 species